UACGUAGGGUGCAAGCGUUGUCCGGAAUUAUUGGGCGUAAAGAGUUCGUAGGCGGUUUGUCGCGUCCGUUGUGAAAGCCCGGGGCUUAACCCCGGGCCUGCAGUCGAUACGGGCAGACUAGAGUUCGGUAGGGGAGACUGGAAUUCCUGGUGUAGCGGUGAAAUGCGCAGAUAUCAGGAGGAACACCGGUGGCGAAGGCGGGUCUCUGGGCCGAUACUGACGCUGAGGAGCGAAAGCGUGGGGAGCGAACAGG
rnacentral:rRNA from 1 species